AAAUCUCUCCCAAUCGUUUACCUCUUCUCACCACACCAGGUUUCUCUCUCUCUCUCUCUCUCUCUCUCUCUCUCUCUCUCGUACGUGAUACUAGGGGGAGGGGUUGCAAUUGGUUACGCCGUUCUUGAAUUCACUGGGAGAGGUGUCUCUCAUGUUGAACUCUGCAUCAUCUCUGAAGAAUCGGAUGAAAAGAUAAGAAAAUACAAGAGCUGGCCGCAGGGAUCCGGGGGAAGAAAUGACUAUGUACCAAUUCGGUCGAUCUGGAAUAGAUCGAUUGUGUCAUGGUCCUUUCCUAUUCUGUUUUCCAUUUGCUAGUGUUAGCUGCCUUGCUCCUUGGCAGGUUCUUUGUUGUGUUUUAAACAGUAGAUGAUGAGAAUGUUUUUUCUUUGAUACUACUUUAAACUUUUCCUGCUUAUAUCCAAGUUCUGCUUGCCUUUGAAGUUGAAGAAUAUUAAGAGGAUUGCAAUCCAUCAUCAAAUGUUGCAAGCUGCAUAUUCACGAAAUUUUGAAGACUGUCAUGAGGAUUGUUUGUUCAUGGCAGUGGGGAGCACAUGUAAUAUUUUUUUGUUCUGUAAUAUUAAUAGGUUUUUUUUUAAUCACAUGUAUAGAGUUCUUUUCAAAAAAUACUAGGACCUUUUGAUGCAAUUUUUGUGGUUUUUCUUGUCUGUGUGUCAUGUCCUAGUCCUUCAUUAAUUUGAGUUUCAAUCUUGUCCUGAGCCUCCUAUAAUCAUGGUUGGACCAUAACAUUUGGUCUAUCCUGGUUGCUGCUGAUGCCUAAUAUCGAAGAUGCUUUUGAUACUGGUGAAUCAUUUGUUUGUUGCU